GGAGGGGUGCCUAAUCAUAACACUACUAUCAACAAAAGUACUAGCAUCCCCCUCUUCUUUUAUUUUGCUUUUCUUUCUUUCAUAUUGUUUUUCAACUAACUCUUUUUCUUUUUUUUUUUUUUUUUUCUCUUCUUUUUCUUUUCACUUUUUUUUAGAGAGAAUUGUUACAACCAUGACCGGACUCGGAAGUAACCAAUCUCCGUCCCACGCCCCAAACCUCAUAAAGGUUGAGAAGAAGGCGGACCUCAAGGGUCGCCACACGUGUUUAGGUUGUAAACAAACUCAAAUGCAUUUUUAUUCAAGCAUCCUCAUUCGGAU
rnacentral:lncRNA from 1 species